rnacentral:misc_RNA from 1 species
GAAAUGCGAUAAGUAAUGUGAAUUGCAGAAUUCCGUGAAUCAUCGAAUCUUUGAACGCACAUUGCGCCCUCUGGCAUUCCGGGGGGCAUGCCUGUCCGAGCGUCAUUACGCACCCUCAAGCCCGGCUUGUGUGAUGGGCCCUGGCGUCUCGUUCGCGAGACGGGCCCGAAAGGCAGCGGCGGCGUCGACCCGAUGAACCCGAGCGUAUGGGGACUUUUGUCACACGUUUGCGGUGCGGACCGGCGCCUGCUUGACUUUUCUGAUUAUCCAGGUUGACCUCGGAUCAGGUAGGGAUACCCGCUGAACUUAAGC